UCUGGUGAGCCUCAGCGGGGAUGGUAUUUGUCUACUCCACGUGGCUUGUCAUGCUCCAUCAGGCUAGCCCAGGCAUGUUCACAUGUAGAUUGGCAGAUGCUAAGAGGACAAAAGCUAAAGCUGCAAAGCCUCUUGAGAACUAAGCUGCUGCAUUCUAGUGGUCAAAGCAAGUCACAGGCAAGCCCAAAUUCAAGGGGUAGGGAAGGAGGCUCGACCUUUUCAAGGAAGAAGUAGCAGAGUUACGUUGCAGAGGGGCAUGCACAUAGGAAUGGGAGGGGUUACUGAAGCCAUCUUUGCAAACUAUCUACCAUAGACUUCAAGUUCUGGGAGGAUAAGAUAAACAGAUUCAGCCUUGACCUUAAGAAGCAAGUCUAGCCCCCUGACUGAGGCACUGCAGCAAGUGCCACGUGUUAGAAUAAAGGCACAGGAGAAAGCAGUGAGUUCCCUGGUGUGUACAGCAGAGAGCUAGUAGGAAGUGAAAACUGAGCUGCCCACUUGCCCUCUAAGUCCCAAGUCAAGGACCUGUCAUCCGUGUCUGGUUCUGGAUAAUGAUCUCCAUGUCCUGGGCCCUUAGGGCUCCAGAUACAAGCUAAAAUAAUCAUAGUUUAACCCUAAAGCAAAGAUGGCAUGGUCUCAAAUCCCCAAAGAAGCAGUUACGUUCUCAUGCUGACUGAGGCAAGAAAAGGUUUCCCAACAUGAGGUUGGUACACAAAUGGACUUAGAGCUAACCCUUGACAGAGUCCCUUUUCCCUCCCUCACAGACAAAUGCUUGCCCUCUUCUCCAGUGACUGCUCAGGAGAGGUCUAUCUGCCUACACUUCUGUGGGAGGAAAAACUCCAAGUACACACAUCUAAUAUGCCAUCAGGGGGUGGGAAUCCUGGCUGCAUUUUUUUCACUUGUAACUUUGACCCGCUUUCCUCAUCUGUGAGAUGUGGGUUCAUGGGACUACAGUAAGAACCAGUGAGAAUUAUUUGCAAACACUCCAGAAAUUGUGCCAUUGUCUGUAAGGACAUGUGUAGCUCUUGGCUCAUUCAUUUACUUAAUCGUUCCCUCUUGUAAUGUUUAACCCCAUUUUGUCUGCCCACAGCAGCAUCCUCCAUCUCCCGGGAUCCACUCUUCACUCUUUUCUGACCAGGAACUUUGAAUGGGAAAUGCCAUAUUCCUGGAUACCCUCUUCACAGUGCUUGGUCCAAGGUUGAGCAAUUGGCUCAAGUUGGGUCAGUCAGCAUUCUUCCCUGAAAUUUUUCAGUGUGAGAAUGUAAAGAAGUAGCUUAUUGCCCCUUUGGAUUUGUAGUCAGAAAGUGCUGGAGCCAUUUAUAGUCAAGUCCUUCACCAUGGGAAGGAACUGGAGCGAGGACAGAAGAUGUAAGUGAAUUCUGGUACGGUGUCAGUUCUUGGUUCCAGCUGUCUCUGAGGCCCACCCUUCUCUUCCUGCAGUUAUGAGAACUUUCCCAGAGAAACUUCUUUUUGCCUAAGCUUGUAACCAAAGGAAUCUUGACCAAGACAGACAGUUUGUUGAACGUUUAUUGAGCAAUUCUACCUGCCAAGCCCUGGAGAUACAACAGAGAAGACAUGGAUCCUUUCCUCUGAAAUGUCGUAGUGGCAGAGAAAACAACAGGCAGGUGAUAGGGGCUGCCACAGUCGUAGUGCAGAGCAGGCAAGCUCCGUGUUGCUUAGGGGAGUCCACAAACAUCUCACAGGAGGAGGAGGCGCCUACCCACAGCCUUAGCUGAUGGGAUGCCUGCUGCACUGCUGAAGAGGCGGCAGAGCCGUGGCCUCCGGGAGGGGGCUCAAACCUGUGACUGGUGCAUGUUCUCCAUUAGACACACUGGCUGGUGGCCAGCAGCCCCACCUACAGAAUUCCCUGAAGUGAGGAAUGGCAUUCCUGAGACCACUCAGCAGAGACUGCCUCAAAAGGCGAGCUGGACUUUAUUCAGGCCCUGCUCAAUGCCAGGAAAUGCAGCGAGAGAAAAUCCCCUUCCGGCGCCCCCUCUGUGGCUGGCACACAGGUCCCCUGCCCAGCGGGUGUGUGUAGACGUGCCCUCAGGAAGCUCAGCCCAAGGCCCUCUGGAAAUGGCCACAGCUGGACCUCACGGAACUCGUCCACUGCUUCUUUGGAGCUCCAGGAAAGCGCCAGAAAAGGGGCACUGAGGCAGAGGUAAAGCCAAGCAGCCUGUGGCUCAGGGGACCACCUUGCGACUGCCUGAAUGUGAAGCAGGCAGAGAAAUCCUUCUGGGAACCUGAGGCCAGGUGUAUGAGUGGGAUUUAAGAGAGGCCAGGGCUCCUUCCCGGGUGGCCCCAGCCCAGGAGGAGGGCGUGAGAGGCGCGCCUGGGAAGUGUCAGAGCCUGACAGGUGUGAGCUGGAGACCUGGCAGGAGAGUGUUCUCACCACCUGACCAUCCUGGAAAGCUGUCAAAGUCCCAGUGCCCAUAUCACACCCCACAACAAUCCAAUCAAACUCUUUGGAGGUAGGACCCAGGUAUCCCUGUUUUUAAAAAAUUUACAGGUAAUUAAAAUAUUCAGCCAGGCUUGAGAACCAGUGCUUUAAAGAGAUAUCUGAUGCAUCCCAGACUCAUCAAACAAAAUAAGUAGGGCUCCUCCUGAGUGAAUCAUCAAGCCACCUUCUCUCUAGAGGCCCUCUUCACUCCUCUAGUCUCUCCAAAUCCUUGCCAUUCCUCCACAUCCAUCUCCAUCGCCACCUCCUGAUGGGAGCCCUCCAUGGCUGCCCCAGCUGCAGUGAGUGCCUUUCUUCAAGGGCCCCUGUCACUGAGGACCUGCAUAGCCAUACAUAGCCAUCAGCUGACAGGUGUUUGACCGUCCAGUUGAGCAAUCCAUUCCCAUGGGGGCAGGUACUAUGUUGUCCAUCAUGCUUUCUCACAACCUGCUGACCUACCACCUACCGCAAUUCACUGCCCACAUUAUAAACUCAAUUAGUGUUUUCUGCUGACUUACAUCCUAGCGCAUUUCAACAUUUCGAGCAAUCUUGGUAAGAGAGUUGAAAGAAUGUCUGAUUCAAAUUAGUGGUUUUGCUGGUGAUCAGUGAUUGUGGUCAUAGAGAUGUAUAUGAUAGGAAUGGUAUCGGAAGAAUGGCCAAGAAAUGCCUCUCAGGAUGUAUCCCAAGAUGGUAUGUGUAACCCAUAUAGCCCAACCCUCACGUGGUCCAGUCUCUGCACUGAAUGAACAUCUUCAAAGCUGUGGUAGUUCCACAGGGCAGUAGGCAAUGAAAGGUAUUUUCUAAUUAAAAGCACUUCAAAUA